UUUCCGGUUGAUCCUGCCGGACCUGACUGCUAUCGGAUUGAUACUAAGCCAUGCGAGUCUUUGCAGUAAUGCAAGGCAUACGGCUCAGUAACACGUAGUCAACUUACCCUAUGGACGAGGAUAAUCUCGGGAAACUGAGCAUAAUACUCGAUAGAUCAUAAUGCCUGGAAUGGUUUAUGGUUGAAAUGAUUCGUCGCCAUAGGAUGGGACUGCGGCCUAUCAGCUUGUUGGUGAGGUAAUGGCCCACCAAGGCGAUUACAGGUACGGGCUCUGAGAGGAGAAGCCCGGAGAUGGGUACUGAGACAAGGACCCAGGCCCUAUGGGGCGCAGCAGGCGAGAAAACUUUGCAAUGUGCGAAAGCACGACAAGGUUAAUCCGAGUGAUUUCUGCUAAAGAAAUCUUUUGCAAGUCAUAAAACCACUAGUGAAUAAGGGGUGGGCAAGUUCUGGUGUCAGCCGCCGCGGUAAAACCAGCACCUCAAGUGGUCAGGAGGAUUAUUGGGCCUAAAGCAUCCGUAGCCGGCUCUGUAAGUUUUCGGUUAAAUCCAUGUGCUCAACGCAUGGGCUGCCGAAAAUACUGCAUAGCUAGGGAGUGGGAGAGGUAGACGGUACUCAGUAGGAAGGGGUAAAAUCCUUUGAUCUAUUGAUGACCACCUGUGGCGAAGGCGGUCUACCAGAACACGUUCGACGGUGAGGGAUGAAAGCUGGGGGAGCAAACCGGAUUAGAUACCCGGGUAGUCCCAGCUGUAAACGAUGCAGACUCGAUGAUGCAUUGGCAUAUAGCCAGUGCAGUGUCGCAGGGAAGCCGUUAAGUCUGCCGCCUGGGAAGUACGUACGCAAGUAUGAAACUUAAAGGAAUUGGCGGGGGAGCACCACAAGGGGUGAAGCCUGCGGUUCAAUUGGAGUCAACGCCGGGA
rnacentral:rRNA from 1 species